UGGGGAAUAUUGCACAAUGGGGGAAACCCUGAUGCAGCGACGCCGCGUGAGUGAAGAAGUAUUUCGGUAUGUAAAGCUCUGUCAGCAGGGAAGAAAAUGACGGUACCUGACCAAGAAGCCCCGGCUAACUACGUGCCAGCAGCCGCGGUAAUACGUAGGGGGCAAGCGUUAUCCGGAUUUACUGGGUGUAAAGGGAGCGUAGACGGCAGGGCAAGUCUGGAGUGAAAGGCGGGGGCUCAACCCCCGGACUGCUCUGGAAACUGCCAGGCUGGAGUGCAGGAGAGGUAAGUGGAAUUCCUAGUG
rnacentral:rRNA from 1 species